rnacentral:snRNA from 1 species
CCGACAGGCCCUUGGAGCAGAUGAUCUACGAGCGCCUGCUCUCCUCCCACCACAGGGUGGCCAACCCGGAGGACGCAGACCUGUUCUUCCUGCCCAUCCCCACGCGAUCCGCGUUCCGGGGGGGGCUCGAUAACGUCCAGGGGUGGCCGGGGGUGACGGAUUUCUUC